rnacentral:rRNA from 10 species
AGACCCGAAACCCGGUGAUCUAGCCAUGGGCAGGUUGAAGGUUGGGUAACACUAACUGGAGGACCGAACCGACUAAUGUUGAAAAAUUAGCGGAUGACCUGUGGCUGGGGGUGAAAGGCCAAUCAAACCGGGAGAUAGCUGGUUCUCCCCGAAAGCUAUUUAGGUAGCGCCUCGUGAAUUCAUCUCCGGGGGUAGAGCACUGUUUCGGCUAGGGGGCCAUCCCGGCUUACCAACCCGAUGCAAACUGCGAAUACCGGAGAAUGUUAUCACGGGAGACACACGGCGGGUGCUAACGUCCGUCGUGAAGAGGGAAACAACCCAGACCGCCAGCUAAGGUCCCAAAGUCAUGGUUAAGUGGGAAACGAUGUGGGAAGGCCCAGACAGCCAGGAUGUUGGCUUAGAAGCAGCCAUCAUUUAAAGAAAGCGUAAUAGCUCACUGGUCGAGUCGGCCUGCGCGGAAGAUGUAACGGGGCUAAACCAUGCACCGAAGCUGCGGCAGCGACACUGUGUGUUGUUGGGUAGGGGAGCGUUCUGUAAGCCUG